GAUGAACGCUGGCGGCGUGCUUAACACAUGCAAGUCGAACGAUUGAAGCUGGAGCUUGCUCCGGCUGAUUUAGUGGCGGACGGGUGAGUAACGCGUGGGUAACCUGCCUCAUACAGGGGGAUAGCAGUUGGAAACGACUGGUAAAACCGCAUAAGCGCACGGUGUCGCAUGACACAGUGUGAAAACACUCCGGUGGUAUGAGAUGGACCCGCGUCUGAUUAGCUAGUUGGUGAGGUAACGGCCCACCAAGGCGACGAUCAGUAGCCGGCCUGAGAGGGUGAACGGCCACAUUGGGACUGAGACACGGCCCAAACUCCUACGGGAGGCAGCAGUGGGGAAUAUUGCACAAUGGGGGAAACCCUGAUGCAGCGACGCCGCGUGAGUGAUGAAGUAUUUCGGUAUGUAAAGCUCUAUCA
rnacentral:rRNA from 1 species